rnacentral:rRNA from 1 species
UCCACGCCGUAAACGAUGUCAACUAGCCGUUUGUGUCCUUGAGACGUGAGUGGCGCAGCUAACGCACUAAGUUGACCGCCUGGGGAGUACGGCCGCAAGGUUAAAACUCAAAUGAAUUGACGGGGGCCCGCACAAGCGGUGGAGCAUGUGGUUUAAUUCGAUGCAACGCGAUAACCUUACCAUCCCUUGACAUCCAGAGAAGCGACUAGAGAUAGACGUGUGCCUUCGGGAACUCUGUGACAGGUGCUGCAUGGCUGUCGUCAGCUCGUGUUGUGAAAUGUUGGGUUAAGUCCCGCAACGAGCGCAACCCCUAUCCUUAUUUGCCAGCGCGUUAUGGCGGGAACUUUAAGGAGACUGCCGGUGAUAAACCGGA